rnacentral:rRNA from 1 species
UGGGGAAUAUUGCGCAAUGGGGGCAACCCUGACGCAGCCAUGCCGCGUGAGUGAUGAAGGCCUUCGGGUUGUAAAGCUCUUUCAGUGGUGACGAUGAUGACGGUAACCACACAAGAAGCCCCGGCUAACUUCGUGCCAGCAGCCGCGGUAAUACGAAGGGGGCUAGCGUUGUUCGGAAUUACUGGGCGUAAAGGGCGUGUAGGCGGAACAGUCAGUCAGGGGUGAAAUCCCGGGGCUUAACCUCGGAACGGCCUUUGAUACUGCUGUUCUUGAGUCCGUGAGAGGAUGGCGGAAUACCCAGUGUAGAGGUGAAAUUCGUAGAUAUUGGGUAGAACACCAGUGGCGAAGGCGGCCAUCUGGCACGGAACUGACGCUGAGGCGCGAAAGCGUGGGGAGCAAACAGGAUUAGAUACCCCCGUAGUCC